UACAGAGGUCUCAAGCGUUGUUCGGAUUCAUUGGGCGUAAAGGGUGUGUAGGUGGCGCGCUAAGUCGGGUGUGAAAUUUCGGAGCUUAACUCCGAAACUGCAUUCGAUACUGGCGUGCUUGAGGACUGGAGAGGAGACUGGAAUUCCUGGUGUAGCGGUGAAAUGCGCAGAUAUCAGGAGGAACACCGGUGGCGAAGGCGGGUCUCUGGGCCGAAACUGACGCUGAGGCGCGAAAGCGUGGGGAGCAAACAGG
rnacentral:rRNA from 1 species